AUUGAACGCUGGCGGCAGGCCUAACACAUGCAAGUCGAAUGGUAACAGGAAACAGCUUGCUGUUUCGCUGACGAGUGGCGGACGGGUGAGUAAUGUCUGGGAAACUGCCUGAUGGAGGGGGAUAACUACUGGAAACGGUAGCUAAUACCGCAUAACGUCGCAAGACCAAAGAGGGGGACCUUCGGGCCUCUUGCCAUCAGAUGUGCCCAGAUGGGAUUAGCUAAUAGGUGGGGUAACGGCUCACCUAGGCGACGAUCCCUAGCUGGUCUGAGAGGAUGACCAGCCACACUGGAACUGAGACACGGUCCAGACUCCUACGGGAGGCAGCAGUGGGGAAUAUUGCACAAUGGGCGCAAGCCUGAUGCAGCCAUGCCGCGUGUAUGAAGAAGGCCUUCGGGUUGUAAAGUACUUUCAGCGGGGAGGAAGGGAGUAAAGUUAAUACCUUUGCUCAUUGACGUUACCCGCAGAAGAAGCACCGGCUAACUCCGUG
rnacentral:rRNA from 1 species